rnacentral:lncRNA from 1 species
UUUUUCCUAGGGAGAAAGGGGAUCUUAAUUAUUACGUCAUGAUUUAUGCAAUUUGUUAAUAGAAGCUUCUUACGUAAUUUCAACGUGAUGAAUAGAUAUUUACGGAGAUCCCCGUGGUCGUUGUUAAUCAUACCGUCAUUCAGAAAUUGAGAAAGGAGAAAUUAAGGUGAUUCAUACCAGUCGCGGGAUUUCUUGCUUGUCACUAAACUGGGGACUUUUAUACGUUUAUAGGGAAUUUAAUUUAAGGUUACUUUUAUCCUUAAAAAAGAAUUUUCUGAUAAAUUCCUGCUCAUUCAUCCGGGAUAAAAUCAUUCAUUAUGGUAAAGACAGUUUACGUAAUUCUCUUAAUUCGACACGUAAACGUGCAGUAAUGGAAAGUGCCUAUGAUAAUCUAUUCGAAGACACGUCAAGUCGUAUAAUUUAUCUGCAAAGUGUAAUUUGCUCGCGGGCAUUGUACGACCAACGGUUUCAAAGAUAUCUACCAUCGAUAUUUCCUGUGUCUCUUCGCACGCUCCUUUUCCUUCUUGAAUAAUAAUCAUUGUCCUUCGGACUGUUCCAUUUCGAAUUCCUGCAAUUAUACGCUGGAUGUCGUGAUUGGAUUGGACUGCACUACUGUCGCCGUUUUCUACGUAAUUCCUGGCAGCGUGAUUAUUUAAAAUUAUCCAGUGGAAGAAACGAUCACCGACGUUCCUGGAGACAAGAUUGUACUAUACUUUCUAAUUAUAGCAAGACGGCAAAAGAAUAAGAGAUAUACAUAAAUGAAAACCACUGGAAUUUUCUUUCUGAUUAUAUGGGAUUUAGAAAUUUAUGAAUAAAACUGAAGAAAUACGUUGUUACUAUUAACGCGGAUUUUUAUCCGAUUAUCUGGAAUAUCUGGAAGCACAGGAAUACACAGAAAUCGCGUACCAUUUUUUCAUUUGUCACCACGAAAAUUUGCAUAAAUAUCCGCCAGCCUAACGAUCAUCAUAAUCGAGUCUCAUUAGAAUACUAUUAAAAUUUUAAAAUGUGUUUCAUAUUUCAUAUGAACCAGCCUACUAAUUCAUACAGUUGGGGACAAAGCUAAGUUUCUAUUUUUUUAAUUUCCUAUUUUUAUUCUCCAACUGUGAACUAGAUUAUCCAAAAUAUGUAUUUGUAUCGUCGUUGGAAAUAUGAAACGUAUCAGGAGCCGACAGAAAGUUUGUAAAACGGAAUGCGAGAAAUAGAAUGAUGCAAGGUCGAGCUAUCGUCUUACCAAAACAUGUUAUCGGUGACGCCCCCCAUUCGAGUCUGGACUCUCGGGAGAAACAUCUCAGCAUGCACACCCCUUCAACUUCCAGAUAAAUUCCGAUAAUGAUUGCGUUCUUCGCUACAUUUAACGACCAAUCUCCCGUUCUUCUCAACAACUGUUCGAUUCAUCAAGUUUCCUCUGUUCCAACGGCUAUAAACAUGUUGUCCAUCAACGAUACUCGCUACAAUGUGCUUCCCGUUGUUUAUUUAUAAAGUCAGUUCGAAAACAAGAGGCGGAAUGGGUCUCUUUCUAUCGAUUUUUAUUCGAGGCUGUGUAUACAUGGCAAGCUUUCCUUCCUAGGCAAUUGCAAGAUACUUGUAGAUGCUAUUUUGGUAAUUUAAAACGUGCUAAGCAUAUUAUAUUAAGAAAAUUCUUAGCGAAAUUUAGGAAAGAUCCAUCGAGAUUUUGAAUUUUUGCCAUCUGUAAGUUCGUCAGUCUCUCCUAGAAAAAUUUCUCAUCUUUUAUAGAAAAUUGAUUCUUUCAAAUACCUUUUACGAGCUUCUAAAGUAUUUCAUUUCUUGUUUGUGUCUUCUGAAUAAGUUUUGUAAAGACUAGAACAAAUAACGUUGAAAUUGCGCUAUGUUCAGUAACUCGAGAUAAAUAGGAAUGGAAGUGAACAUUCCAUGACUCAAAAUUUCCUGGAUGUAUGAGAUUAAGUGUUAUCUCAUUGAAGAAAAGAAACCUA